rnacentral:rRNA from 1 species
CUAGAGAUAGAGUCUUCCCCUUCGGGGGACAAAGUGACAGGUGGUGCAUGGUUGCCGUCAGCUCGUGUCGUGAGAUGUUGGGUUAAGUCCCGCAACGAGCGCAACCCUUAAGCUUAGUUGCCAGCAUUAAGUUGGGCACUCUAAGUUGACUGCCGGUGACAAACCGGAGGGAGGUGGGGAUGACGUCAAAUCAUCAUGCCCCUUAUGAUUUGGGCUACACACGUGCUACAAUGGACAAUACAAAGGGCAGCUAAACCGCGAGGUCAUGCAAAUCCCAUAAAGUUGUUCUCAGUUCGGAUUGUAGUCUGCAACUCGACUACAUGAAGCUGGAAUCGCUAGUAAUCGUAGAUCAGCAUGCUACGGUGAAUGCGUUCCCGGGUCUUGUACACACCGCCCGUCACACCACGAGAGUCUGUAACACCCGAAGCCGGUGGAGUAACCAUUUAUGGAGCUAGCCGUCGAAGGUGGGACAAAUGAUUGGGGUGAAGUCGUAACAAGGUAGCCGUAUCGG